UGCGUAGGUGGUGAGGUAAGUUUGAUGUGAAAGCUCCGAGCUCAACUCGGAAACGGCAUUAAAUACUAUCUCGCUAGAGGAUUGGAGGGGGGACUGGAAUUCUCGGUGUAGCAGUGAAAUGCGUAGAUAUCGAGAGGAACACCAGUGGCGAAGGCGAGUCCCUGGACAAUUCCUGACACUGAGGCACGAAAGCUAGGGGAGCAAACA
rnacentral:rRNA from 1 species